rnacentral:RNase_P_RNA from 1 species
AGCAGACCGUGCAGCCGCGGGUACAAGGCGAAAGCCUGUAUGUGAGGAAAGUCCGGGCUCCAAAGGGCACGAGUAACGGAUAACAUCCGCCAGGGGCGACCCUCGGACAAGUGCAACAGAAAUAUACCGCCGAAUUCGGUAAGGGUGGAAAGGCGAGGUAAGAGCUCACCCGCUUUUAUGGCAACAUAAAAGUGCUGUAAACUCUAUUCGGAGCAACACCGUGGUGGGAACAUAUGGCUGACCCGGCCGUUCCCAGGAGGUGGCUUGAACAUUGCGGUAACGCAAUGUCACAGAUAGAUGGCUGCAUAGACAGAACCCGGCUUACAGGCCUACUCAU